rfam:Stegodyphus mimosarum contig10890, whole genome shotgun sequence.
GCCUUCGUGGGAUAAUGGUCAGCACGCUCGACGUAUAACCGAGAGGACCGUGGUUCGAUUCCCGGCGAAGGCG